UACAGAGGUCUCAAGCGUUGUUCGGAUUCAUUGGGCGUAAAGGGUGCGUAGGUGGCGUCGUAAGUCGGGUGUGAAAUUUCGGAGCUUAACUCCGAAACUGCAUUCGAUACUGCGGUGCUUGAGGACUGGAGAGGAGACUGGAAUUUACGGUGUAGCAGUGAAAUUCGUAGAUAUUCGCAAGAACACCAGUGGCGAAGGCGGCUCACUGGCCCGAUACUGACGCUGAGGCACGAAAGCGUGGGGAGCAAACAGGG
rnacentral:rRNA from 1 species